CAGAAUUGAACGAUUCUCAGCAAUCGAGUCGUUCACUUGACUCCCUUAGACGCUAUGCGGUGCAAUAGAUUUAAAAGAACGAACGACUCAGAUUGGAAGAAAUAAGAGGACCCACUGUAUCCAGCAGGGGCAGCUGAUGAUGUGGAGUUUUUCCACUUUGUCUAUGGACCUCAGGAUUUGGGAGACUGGGAGGCAAAAUGAAUCAAAAUAACUGAGCAGAGUCUGCAGGCGCGAGCACGUCCAGUGUUGUGAAUCUUCAUUAAGGUCAAGGUCGGAGCUGAAAGAAUUAAAGCUAUGUGUUUGUCUCAAGGUUGGACUGGUUAUUGCCCUUGUCUUUUUAUUAGUUCUACUGGCCCGCCUGCAGACCCAGCCUGGGGAAUCCACCUAAGUUUUCUUUUGUUUCUGUAGUUUAAUAUUCUUUAAAUAAAUAAACUAAGUUGUCU